GACGUAGGGCGCGAGCGUUGUCCGGAUUAUUGGGCGUAAAGAGCUCGUAGGCGGCUUGUCGCGGUCUCCGUGAAAACCCACGGCUUAACUGUGGGCUUGCGGUCGAUACGGGCAGGCUGGAGUUCGGUAGGGGAGACUGGAAUUCCUGGUGUAGUGGUGGAAUGCGUAGAUAUCGGGAGGAACACCAGUGGCGAAGGCGGCUUCCUGGACCGGUUCUGACACUGAGGAGCGAAAGCGUGGGGAGCGAGUCCGG
rnacentral:rRNA from 1 species